UACGGAGGGUGCAAGCGUUAUCCGGAUUCACUGGGCGUAAAGCGCACGUAGGCGGCUUUGUAAGUUAGAGGUGAAAGCCCGGAGCUCAACUCCGGAAUUGCCUUUAAGACUGCAUCGCUUGAAUCAUGGAGAGGUGAGUGGAAUUCCGAGUGUAGAGGUGAAAUUCGUAGAUAUUCGGAAGAACACCAGUGGCGAAGGCGACUCACUGGACAUGUAUUGACGCUGAGGUGCGAAAGCGUGGGGAGCAAACAGG
rnacentral:rRNA from 1 species